rnacentral:rRNA from 1 species
GAUGAACGCUGGCGGCGUGCCUAAUACAUGCAAGUCGAGCGAACAGAUGAGGAGCUUGCUCCUCUGACGUUAGCGGCGGACGGGUGAGUAACACGUGGAUAACCUACCUAUAAGACUGGGAUAACUUCGGGAAACCGGAGCUAAUACCGGAUAAUAUAUUGAACCGCAUGGUUCAAUAGUGAAAGACGGUUUUGCUGUCACUUAUAGAUGGAUCCGCGCCGCAUUAGCUAGUUGGUAAGGUAACGGCUUACCAAGGCAACGAUGCGUAGCCGACAUGAGAGGAUGAGCAGCCACAAUGGAACUGAGACACGGUCCAGACUCCUACGGGAGGCAGCAGUGGGGAAUAUUGGACAAUGGGCGCAAGCCUGAUGCAGCAAUACCGCGUGAGUGAAGAAGGUCUUAGGGUUGUAAAGCUCUGUUGUUGGGAAAGAAAAAAUUCAGGAUAAUACCCUGGGAGGAUGACGGUACCAAAUGAAUAAGCAACGGCUAACUUCGUG